rnacentral:rRNA from 1 species
UACGUAGGGUGCAAGCGUUGUCCGGAAUUACUGGGCGUAAAGCGUGCGCAGGCGGCUUCGCAAGUCAGACGUGAAAUCCCCGGGCUUAACCUGGGAAUGGCGUUUGAACUACGGAGCUGGAGUAUGGCAGAGGGGGGUGGAAUUCCACGUGUAGCGGUGAAAUGCGCAGAUAUCAGGAGGAACACCGGUGGCGAAGGCGGGUCUCUGGGCAGUAACUGACGCUGAGGAGCGAAAGCGUGGGGAGCGAACAGG